CAAAACAACAACAUAUCCCCAUACAUCCCUGGAUAGCCCAGAUCAGAGCAGGUGUUCAAAAGAUUUCAAAAGAUUUAUGGAAGUCACAUUUGACCGACCGCAAGCAUGGCUUUCAUGCCCAAAAUAGUUCCACAGAUUUAGGCUGUGCAGCAGGUCUAUCUUCUCCUCUAUCCUGGAGAUAAUUGGCUUAAGUGGCUGUGGUAAGCCAAUUAUCUCCAGGUACAGGAAAU